CCCUUAGAUGUCCUGGGCCGCACGCGCGUUACACUGAUGCAUUCAACGAGCUUAUAACCUUGGCCGAGAGGCCUGGGCAAUCUUGUUAACGUGCAUCGUGAUAGGGAUAGAUUAUUGAAAUUAUUAAUCUUGAACGAGGAAUUCCUAGUAAACGCAGAUCAUCAAUCUGCAUUGAUUACGUCCCUGCCCUUUGUACACACCGCCCGUCGCACCUACCGAUUGGAUGGUCCGGUGAAGCCUCGGGACGGCGGCUUGGUCGCUUGCGUCCGACUGCUGAAACUUGAUUAAACCAUAUCAUUUAGAGGAAGGUGAAGUCGUAACA
rnacentral:rRNA from 1 species